AAUCGUUCAAUGCCUAAAACUGAUGCCACGCCCUCCGUUAAUCACGCACACUGGUUUGAAAAAGAAGCAGACGCCAUUUUUUUUGUCUCGCUUUAGCGAACGACAGCCAACAGUGUCCUGAAAAUGCUACUAAAAGUGAAAUAGAAAGGGUGCCAAAAGAGUCAUAAUUGGCAGUCAGUGCUCCAUUUUUAGAUUCUUCAUUUUCAUCUGCUGCACCUGAUGACUCGGAUGCCACUCAUUUUGGAGGAAAACGAAGGCUUAACAUCAUCCAAGAAAAUGAGGCUCGUAGAUAAAAGCCUGUGGUGCUGAACAUGCCAAACAAGAGAAUUCCACUACUAGAUAUACAGGUCAUGUUGCUCUAGGAAUUGUGACCUUGUUCCCGUACUUGGACCCAUAUUAAAAAAUUGGAUAUGAGCAUUACUAUGAUGCAGAUAGCGGAGCAGGAUAUCUAGCCUGGAGAAUUAAAACAAUUCAGCGCAAUUCUGUGGUUGCAACACAGGAAAGCCAGCACUGAUUAUAAAGAUGGGCCAAGAAUACAGCAAGAAAUACAUCCGAAUGAGGAGCAGCUGACUGGGGAGCAGUGUAGAGAAGCCGUUUCAUUUCUGAAACAUUCCUCCGACACACAAAUGAUACAGCAAUAAAUGAGAGCAACAUUUGAUUACUGUCCAAUUUAGUUCAUGAUCCAGAAAUGUCUUCGAGUCAUAGAGGUGUUCCCACUGUUUCUGGACACACAAGGCCUGAUUGAACAAGAUUUUGUCAUGCUGUUUAGUGAUGAAGCUUCAGUGAGGUUUCUUGAAGUGGCCUACAGUCUUCAAAGAAAAGGUCAUUAGAUUGGAAGGGUUUGACCUUAAACAACCAUUUGGAAGCACUGAUAAGAUCAGCAGAGCAAUGUUGUCUGGAGAAUGCAGGUGAAUUUUGUGAUCCAGGUGUUGGACAGUGAUAUGUCAUCAAUACUGCUGCUGUUGCAUCUCCUUUCUCCAACAUCAAGGAGCCAAAAGAAGUCUGCAAAAAUGAGUGCCAACCAAGCUACUGACUAUCUGGUUGGGACCAGUUUGGAAAACCAUCUUGAACACACUGAGGGCUGUAAUCAACCAUGCUUGCUGGCUUAUGUGAGCGCAUGAAAAAACACCAUCGACAAUGCUGCUUGGUCAUCGGCAAGAAAGCCAUUCCAUGUAAGGCUCAAAGUUUAGUUGCUGCUUUUGACGAACUGUUCAAGGCACACUGUCUUCAGUGUAUCUUUACAAUGAAUCUUUAUCUUGUCUGUACACUUUCACCCAAACUACCAUCUACAACACAGACGUUGGAAAUUCAAAAGAAAACCCGAGUCUGAGAACUUGGAGCAAGAUUCUUAAACACAGAAAAAUCAGAAUAGAGAAAUUUUGAAAAGAUUUUCUGCUUACAAGACCAAAAAUAUUGAUUUGUUUGUAAAUCAUACCACAAAAGUAGCAAUUCCCAUAGCAAACAUAUAAAAUUAAAACAUGGUUUGUUUCCUGGAAAAUGAUUGCAUCUGAAAUGUGGACAGUUAGGAUGUUCUCUUGUUUUUUCACAUUUUUAAUCUAGUGGAUUAAAAAUGGACUGACGGCAAAGAUUUGGGCUUGAAUGCUAUUCAAACUUGGUGCUUGCUACGCAAUGUUCCUCCUAAUGUUUGGAGAUCUUGUUGAACAAAAUGACAAAUAUUGGAACCUACUGCAGCUACUUCUACCUAUUUUUUGUUGAUGUUGUUUUCUCCAGAGUUAUAACCGAUGGUAUGACUUAUUUAAAGCAUUUAAUUUGUCAUCACAACAUGUAAAAGACUUGUUUCCAGAUAAGAACUUACUACCCAAACACCAUAUUGUUAUUCACUAUCCACAGUGCAUUCGGAAGAUAGGACCAUUGCUAAUAGGUAGUGUAUGGGGGUUACAAUCGUAAUCGUAAAUAUUUGACAGAAAAUGGUGAUGCGUUAGUUGGUAAACUUAUAUGGAACGCAUUGAUGGAAAUGUCCAGUGUGAUUUGGACAGUGGGGUCAGCACAGUGAGAGUGCAAUGGCCGAGCCUCGCCCUGGGUGAACUUUUUUCCUUUUUUAAAAUGUUUAUUAUUCUUUGCAAAAUUACAGAAAACAAAACUACAUCAUUAAUUAUUCCAUUCAAAUUAUAUAGCACUCCAUUACAUUUCACAAAAGAAUACAAUCCAAAAUUACAUUACAAAACCUUUUCUUACAAUUGCUUUACUAUCUCUUCCCCCAUAAUUCCCUACAUUUUAACAACUUUAUCUGGUCCAUAGGCCAUUAUAUCUCUAAUUACAUAAUCUUUCAUUAUCGCAACUUUUCUUGCUUUCCACAAAGCAUCAUUAGUACAAUUAAUUAUCAUCCUCAUCUUUUCUUUUUCCUUACCAAUUAUCUUUUGUUAUGUUAACCCAUAAAAUACCCACUUCACAUUUUAUACAAAAUCUGGGGCAAAAUAUUUCAAACAUUCCCCUAUUUUUACCCACACCUUUUGGGCUAAAGGACAUUCCCAUAUUAAAUGUUUAACCGUUUCUUCUUCAAAACAUCUCAAUCUUACACAAUUUGGGAUGCACACCCACCUCGUUUAUAUAAAACUCUUCUCACCGGAAGAUAUUUAUGCACUAUACACCACCCUAAAUCCUUGUGCACAUUCAAUAGAUAAGCUGCAGAUACCUGCUUCCAAAUGAAUUUAACUUAUUUUUCAUAAAACACUUGCAUUGGAAUAAGCUUUACAUUAACUUCCCCAAUCACUUAUUCCAUGUUUUGUCUCGAACACUCCUCUAAUAACAUUUUUUCCUGCAACUUAUUUCUUGUAAAACUAGAUUACAAAAUCAGAAAUAAAAGGUCUCUGUUCUGCAUAUGGAAUAUUUAGACACCUUCUCAAUCCCCAUAGUCUACUUAUUACAUCCCCUAACCAAAAUAUCACAAAAUAAUUCAAUUUCCAGUCUUUUACAACUUUGCACCCCUUUAAAAUAAAGGAAACAAUUGUAAUUCAAAAUUAAUUCCAUAUCCGGUAUAUCUUUCCCACCCAGAUCAACUGGCCUACACAAAUUUUCUCUUUUCACUUUCUCAAUUUUACUCCCCCAUAAAAACCUAAAUAUCAUGUGUUUUAAUUAUUGCAAGCCCAUUUCUCGUUAUUGGCAAAAUUGUACCCAGAGAAUUACGAUUACUGCACUUAAUUAUUUGCUUUAAUAACCAACACUUUGCCCACCAUUGUUAACUCCCUCAAUUCCCACAUUCAGUUUAUUUUGUAUAUUAUUUAUCACUCUUUUCCAAUUCUUACUCUACACAUUUCUUCCAAAUAAGACCCCUAAAAUUGACACAAUCUUUUUCUGUAAAACCCCAAUUUACUUUUGAAUCUUUCCAAUUUAAAUAUACACAGUCACUCUUAACUAAAUUAGCUUUUGAAUUAGAUGCCAAGCCAAAAUGAUUGCAAUGCCAGAAUUUUAGUCACAGAUCUAUUAUCAUUACAAAAAACGGUUACAUCAUCCAUAUACAAAGAUAACAUGGCUUGUAGCCCCCCACUACCUGGCAUUACAAUGCUAUUUAUACUUGUAUCUUAUGGCACUAGCAAAAAGUUCCAUUCCCAGUACAAAUAACGGGGGAUAACGGGCAACCUUGAUGAACUCCUGAUGCUAUUUUAAAUGAUCUAGACAAAAAACAUUCAUCAAUUUUACUAAAACAACUUUUAUAAAGAAGAUCAAUUAAUGAACAAAAUGGCCCAACAUUUUACUUAAUUAAAAUUGAUUUUAAAAAACCAUGAUCUAACCGAUCAAAGGCUUUUUCUAGAUCUAGACUUAACACACAAAGAAAUAUCUCAGUCCUUUGCAUAUUCCACUACAUCCCUCACCAAAGCCAGAUUGUCAGCAAUAAGACACCCUGGAAUACCACAACUCUGAUCUUAAUGAACUAUUUUUGGGAUAACUUGAUUGCAAUCUACGACACUGCUUUUAGAUAAAAAAAUUUUGAUCUACUCCUAAAAGUGUUAUUGGUCUCGAAUUUCUCAAAUCUUUCACAUCUCCCAUUUUAUACAAUAAUAUCACGCAACCUUCCCUCAUGGUUGAUGUUAAUAUACCUCUCUAACAAAUCCAGACCAGUUACAUCCCAAUAGGGAUGGGAUGGUAUAAAAUUUGCACGGUAUGAUAACUGUUAAAUAAAACACUGUGGUAACCUUAAUAUCACGGUGUACAGUACAUGCAAGUUAUAAAAUAAGGCUUAAAUGAAGAAAGACUAAGAAAGACUAAUGUAAAUCACUUACAUUACUGUAAUUCACAAAAAUAAAAGCAACAAAUCACGUUUCCUUUCAUGGAAUGAUUUAAACAUUUGGUGUUUAGUAUUUUACUAUGCCAAAUAACUUGGUACGUUUCUUUUUUUAAAGACAAUCUAAAAAAAACAAACAAAAAAAACUAAAGUUGUACACUCUUAUUGCUUAAAAUACAAACAUGUACCACAGGUUAUUUAAGAGCAGAGAUUAGUUGUUUAUUGUUUCAACCGGAUAAAUAAAAUAUGUAUAGCAAAAAAAUGUAUUUUAAUAUUAAAAGGUGUUAUUUAUUUAUUAUUAUUUAUUUAUUUCUUAGCAGACGACCUUAUCCAGGGCGACUUACAAUUGUUACAAGAUAUCACAUUAUACAUCCUUUCACAUUAUACAGAUAUCACAUUAUUUUACAUACAAUUACCCAUUUAUACAGUUGGGUUUUUACUGGAGCAAUCUAGGUAAAGUACCUUGCUCAAGGGUACAACAGCAGUGUCCCCCACUGGGGAUUGAACCCUAACCACUACUCCACACUGCUGCCCAUUGGAUUUAUAGCUACAUGUCACGACAUUGCACAAGUAAGCUUCGAUGAUUAUUACACGUGGAGUUUGUAAAAAAAAAAAAAAAAAGAUUUCUUCACUUACCUAAGAAAAUUGGAAUACUGUUUAUAACUUGUUUAAACAAAACUACGUUGAUAAUAAGUAGGCUAUCCUUCUGCAGUCGCAGGUCUGUGCUAAUUUUAUUUGAGACAUUGGUCGUGUUCUUAGAUUUCUGCAGACUACACCUCGUCUUCUUACAUCUAUACAUAAAAGGCGACCAUCAAUAACCCUGUUAGUUCUAAUUAACUCACAAUUCCUCCCCCUUAAUAAAAUAGCCACACCUGAAGGCAGGUUCCCAUUAUCCCCUGACCACACUCAUCCCAUAGCCUUUCAUAUUUCAAAUAUUUCUCUAAAUAAGGUAUCCCACAUUCUUGUAACAAAAUAAUAUCCCCUUUUUAAUCUUUAAAAAAAAUAAUCAAAUACUGAAAUACAUUUGUUUCCCGUAUACGCCUUACAUUAACUGAAGCACAACAAAUUAACGCCAUUUAGUAUUUUUUUCUUCCCUUUUAUAUAAAGCAUCCAUUUGCUCACCCGACAUCUGCAUAACCUCACCCAAUGUCUCAACUUUUCCAGAGUCCGAAAAAGGUUGACCACUUGAGGAAGCUGGACUCAAACUUUCAUCUGAAUCUACUACCUCCUCCUUGAUUUUCCUCUUACGUUUUUCCAUUCCGGCAGAAUCCACCAUUUUGUCCAUCUCAUCCUCAGAUAAAUUAGCCACUGGUUUCUCACUCUGUUCAAUUGACUCAGAGUUAUGAGUCUCUCUUCUCUUGUUGAUUUCUCCCCUAAUGAGUUAAUUGCCUCAACAAGAGAGACCACCUCAACUCUUCAGGCUGCACUACUACUUUCUCAGAAAUGAUUAAUGAACUAUCUAUCUUGUUCAGUUCAUUAGGUUCUCUAAAAAAAAAAACUCUUCCAAAUUUAAGUUCUUUAAAACUGGUGUUUCUGUUACUUUCAGUUUCCUUUUCUUUUUUGUGUAACCCCUUUAGCUUUUACUUUAUUGGCAUAGUCGUAAGGGCAGUCUUUGAACACAUGGCCAGACUCUCCACACAAAUUACAUUUUCGUGGAACGCGGCACUCAUCAGAAUAAUGUCCACUGUUUUGGCAAUUCCGGCACACUUUCUCAGUGCAAUCUGCAGAAAAAUGAUCCUCUGACCCACACUUAUGGCAAACUUUUGGCUGGCCAAAAUAAUAAACAUAACCCUGACAAUUUCCAAUUUGGAUUGUGUUGGGAAUAUGUAUCAAUUUACCAGAUCCUUCAUCAAGUCGCAGUUUAACUUGAAACGUUCCCUCCCAUCUUUAUACCAUCUUCAUCUCUCAUUUCUUGACCAGUUAUUACAUGACUACAAAUACAUUUUUAAAUUCUCUUCUUGUCAAGGGCACCAAACCACAUUUUCAAAAUGUCCUUCAUUCUUUUUCAUAUUGAACCUCUCCACGCACAGUU